GAUUACAAUAACUCAGAGGUAGAGCAUCUCCUUCACAUGUAGAAGGUUCCAGGUUUAAUCCCUAGCAUCUCCA